rnacentral:sRNA from 1 species
UCCCACCCGGUGCCCAGGAUGAGCCCCGAGCCCGCCUGUCAGUUUCUGCAUUUCCUUGUGGUUCUUUGCUAGGUAAAGCUGGGCUCAGCGCUAGGGGGCCCCUACCUGGGAGUCCACCUGAGAAGAAAAGAUUUUAUCUGGGGUCACAGAGAGGAUGUGCCCAGUCUGGAAGGGGCCGUGAGGAAGAUCCGCAGCCUCAUGAAGACCCACCGGCUGGACAAGGUGUUUGUGGCCACAGAUGCCGUCAGAAAGGAAUAUGAAGAGCUAAAAAAGCUGUUACCCGAGAUGGUGAGGUUUGAGCCCACGUGGGAGGAGCUGGAGCUCUACAAGGACGGAGGCGUUGCGAUUAUUGACCAGUGGAUCUGCUCACAUGCCAGGUGCCUGCCCACUUGAUUGUCGGCUGAGAGCGGGUCGGGUGGCUUUCAAAGGUUUUUCUGUCCC